rnacentral:lncRNA from 7 species
UUCAUUGCCAAGGAACAGGAGAAGGAGGCAAGUAGAUCCUUACUCUUUGGAGGAGGAGAGGCAGGAGAACACCAGCCCACCAGAAAAUGGCUGAAAGAACAGCCCUGGGUUCUUACUUCACUGCGCCUUCACUAUCAACGCUCACACUAUCCACACCCUGAGGUGCUCAAACAGACGUCGAAUUACAAGGACAUGGGCUUUCUGCACCCCUCCUGCAUGCCUCAUCGCUGGGUGAGGAAGAGAAACGGGCAACCCAGCAGUACACAGCCCAACUGGAGACUUGCAGCUUCGCAGCCAUGUUGGUGAGAAUGCUGAUAGGAAACCACACGACAUGGAGCACCAGCCACUUCUCGACAGCAGCAAUGAGUCACACCCACCCAGUGUCUCUUCUGAAGUAAACUGAAAGGACUAACGGGUAAGAGUGGGGAGAGUCUCCCCACCAGCCACCCGCAGCAGCCCGUGCUAUGCAGGUGUCAGGGAGCACAAACUGUCACCCACAGGCAAAUGUCCUGUGACGCUGCCAGAACAGGUGGUGAGUGGGGCCUCAUAGCUUUUGAAAUGAACAUCACGAUCCUAAGGGAAUAGUGGGGGUUAAAGAUGUUCAGGGGCUAAAAGAGCUCUGUCCUUCCCAAAGGACGUGCUCUUGAGCUGUCUGGAAACAGAUUUCAGAGCAGUUAACAACAGAGCAGUCAGGGAGAGCUCUCUCAGUCCUGAGGUCACCCAGCUGGCGAGCACCUGCAUCUACAAUUAAAACCCUAAUACUCUCCAAAAACCUUCAGCUAGGAGAAAACCAACUGGAAGACCUUCUUUCCAGCAACUUGAAUUCAGUCUCCAAGGCUGGAGACCCUUGCCCUAUGGCAAGGCAGUAGAGGUAAUCCAGCACUUUCGUUGUAUGCUACUUUUUACCUGGAGUUUAUUGAUUUUCUAAUAUGUGUUACAGAGAAUAGCUG